AUUGAACGCUGGCGGCAUGCUUUACACAUGCAAGUCGAACGGCAGCGCGGGCUUCGGCCUGGCGGCGAGUGGCGAACGGGUGAGUAAUACAUCGGAACGUGCCCAGUAGUGGGGGAUAGCUCGGCGAAAGCCGGAUUAAUACCGCAUACGACCUGAGGGUGAAAGCGGGGGAUCUUCGGACCUCGCGCUAUUGGAGCGGCCGAUGGCAGAUUAGCUAGUUGGUGGGGUAAAGGCCUACCAAGGCGACGAUCUGUAGCUGGUCUGAGAGGACGACCCGCCACACUGUGACUGAGACACGGCCCAGACUCUUACGGGAGGCAGCAGUGGGGAAUUUUGGACAAUGGGCGAAAGCCUGAUCCAGCAAUGCCGCGUGUGUGAUGAAGGCCUUCGGGUUGUAAAGCACUUUUGGCGGGAACGAAAAGGACUGUGCCAAUACCACGGUUCGAUGACGGUACCCGCAGAAUAAGCACCGGCUAACUACGUG
rnacentral:rRNA from 1 species